rnacentral:rRNA from 1 species
UACGUAGGGACCGAGCGUUGUCCGGAAUCAUUGGGCGUAAAGAGCGUGUAGGCGGCCACUUAAGUCCUGCGUGAAAUCUUGCGGCUCAACCGCAAGCGGUCGUGGGAAACUGGGUGGCUAGAGUGCGGGAGAGGAGAGUGGAAUUCCUGGUGUAGCGGUGGAAUGCGCAGAUAUCGGGAGGAACACCGGUGGCGAAGGCGGUUCUCUGGGCCUGACCUGACGCUGAGGAGCGAAAGCGUGGGGAGCGAACAGG